AGCCGUCCUGACCUCCAGGCUGCCAAACCCUUCAUCCUGGGGAGCCCUGAAGGUGGCCUACAGGGAGCUAGCAGGGACCAGGGAAGCCUUUUAUCACGGAAGGUUCACAAUCCUUUCUCAAAGGCAGAAGAGUAGAAUUAACCCUGGUACCCGGCACCCAGCCUCUGCAGUGGUCACCCUACAGCCACUCAUCAGGAGCUGAAUGCAGCUCCCUGCUGGCUUUCGUGGUCUCUCUGAUGACAGUGAACCCUGAACCCAAUGAAGUGAAAGGGCAUCCUGUAACCCUCCCCUAUUCCAUUCCCAUUAGUAUACCUGUAUUACCAAAAAAUGGACUCAGUGUUCCUAUUUUGAAUUUCAUCAUCAAAAACGUUAUGGAAACUUGUUUUCUCUUAUACUGACAUAAUAUCGACUUGCCUCUUCUUAGCCUUUAAAGCCCAAAAUAGGUCCCGUCCAGCCCUUUGCAGAAAAACCUCCCACUGCUGAGUUAGACCUCUGUUACUCUUCCCCCUGGAUUAUGUUGAAGAAAAUCCUAGAAAAUAAGGACUUUUAAAAAUAGUAAAAAAGUAUUUCGUUUGGAGCUUUGAAGCAGGAGAGCCAUUGAGCUGAGCAGUCUUUGAACCCCUGCUGCCUGUUGGGCAUGCGGCCCCCUCCCCCCGGCCGGCUCUGCCCCAGCCGCUCAGGAACCAGAGCCCUUUGCUCUUGCCCCUUCCCUCCUGCUGUCCGGUUCCUGGAGACCUGCUGGACCCUUGGAUCCCCAGGGCAGGGUGCUGGGGGUUGGUGUCCCGAGGGCCAGGUGUGGGGAGGGACCUGUACUGGCCCCGAGCCACGGUGGGUGGCAGCCUCCUGACUUACGUCACUGGGACUUUCCUGUCCUGGGAGGUGCGGCCUGACCUUCACCUCCAUGGUGCCUUGAGGGCCUCGCAGCUCCUCGGGGUCCCGCACAUCCCUCCGCACGUGUCUGCUGCUCCUCCUCCGAUGAGGGACCCGCUUGUGGCAGCCUCAGCUUGCUGGUGGAGAGGGUUCCCUGGGCCCGAUUCCCGGUUCUGCCCCCGGAGAAGCCAGCCCCCAGGCAGCCUCACGGGGUGAAUCCCUCGUGCUGAGGUCCAGCCGGGACGGGGCCACCUCCCUGUGGCUUGGCCAUCCUUUCUGGGCCCCCCGGCUCCUUCGCUCCCUGUGCAGAUGGCCGGAGCCUGCGGCCGGUCCUCUGUUAAUACCAACUGCGGAUGCUGGCUGGCCUCGCCUGGGUCACACAUUGUGCUCUGUGCUUUGCCGUUGUCUCAUUUGAGCCUCCCCACGAAGCUCUGGGGCCCCUGAAGCCUGGUUUCCAGGUGAGGAAAUCAAGACUGAGAAAUCAGACAGGGGCCCAGGGUCCUACGGCUACUGGUGGGUUGAGCCGGGGUCUGGAUCCCACAUCCAGACAUGCAGGCUCUCGCCCCAGACACGCAGGUGGAGCCCUUUCGUCCUUAGCACUCACUUCUGUGCUGACAUCAUCCCUGGGCUCCACGCCCUGGGUGGGGACAGCAGAGAAGGGCAUUGUUUUGUGUGCCUCCCACCAGCCCUCCCCUUGCUGGGCAAAAUCUUGCUUACUGUGUUCGCCAGUGUUCCUGUAUUGAAAGUGAUUUCUUUCUUAAAAUGCCACUUCCUCACCUUUCUCCAGAUUGGGUGACUCUUCUCUAAAGGUGGUGGGUGUCUUGAUUGGGGUGGUGUGGCCCUGGGAUGGGUCAGGUGGGUGUGACGGCAGCGGGAUGGGUCAUGGCGUGGGUGGGGGGAGUGGGCAUUGAAGCAGAAGUUGUCACACUGCCACGUUUUGUACCGGAAAUAAAGCAUAUUUUGCACUUGUUACUGUACCAUUGUGCAGACGAGAGAUCUGUUUGGGGUUCUGUGCUUGGGUCAGAAAGCAAAUAAAACUCAUUUGUAAGAAA